GCUGACACAUCCCGGCCAAUCUCCAGCAGACCCUCCCUCCCAGACCCUCCCAUCUCCUGGACAGCAUCCAUGUUGAAGCUGCCUUCAACAUGGAUGCUGUCCAGGAGUUGGGAGGGUCUGGGAGGGAGGGUCUGCUGGAGAUUGGCUGGGAUGUGUCAG
rnacentral:miRNA from 1 species